rnacentral:tRNA from 1 species
GAGAAUCUAGCUCAGUGGUAGAGUGCACGCUUAGCAUACAUGAGGUCCUGGGUUCAAAUCCCCGGUACUUCC